UACGUAGGGUGCGAGCGUUGUCCGGAAUUAUUGGGCGUAAAGAGCUUGUAGGCGGUCUGUCGCGUCUGCUGUGAAAAUCCGGGGCUCAACCCCGGACUUGCAGUGGGUACGGGCAGACUAGAGUGUGGUAGGGGAGACUGGAAUUCCUGGUGUAGCGGUGAAAUGCGCAGAUAUCGGGAGGAACACCGAUGGCGAAGGCAGGUCUCUGGGCCACUACUGACGCUGAGAAGCGAAAGCAUGGGGAGCGAACAGG
rnacentral:rRNA from 1 species